GAUGAACGCUGGCGGCGUGCCUAAUACAUGCAAGUCGAGCGAACAGACGAGGAGCUUGCUCCUCUGACGUUAGCGGCGGACGGGUGAGUAACACGUGGAUAAGCUACCUAUAAGACUGGGAUAACUUCGGGAAACCGGAGCUAAUACCGGAUAAUAUAUUAAAACGCAUGGUUCAAUAGUGAAAGACGGUUUUGCUGUCACUUAUAGAUGGAUCCGCGCCGCAUUAGCUAGUUGGUAAGGUAACGGCUUACCAAGGCAACGAUCCGUAGCCGACCUGAGAGGGUGAUCGGCCACACUGGAACUGAGACACGGUCCAGACUCCUACGGGAGGCAGCAGUAGGGAAUCUUCCGCAAUGGGCGAAAGCCUGACGGAGCAACGCCGCGUGUGUGAUGAAGGUCUUCGGAUCGUAAAACUCUGUUAUUCGGGAAGAACAAAUGUGUAAGUAACUAUGCACGUCUUGACGGUACCUAAUCAGAAAGCCACGGCUAACUACGUG
rnacentral:rRNA from 1 species